rnacentral:rRNA from 1 species
GACGAGGGAUCCUAGCGUUGUUCGGAAUCAUUGGGCGUAAAGAGGGCGUAGGUGGCCUUGUAAGUCAGAUGUGAAAUCCCCGGGCUUAACUUGGGAACUGCAUUUGGGACUGCAAGGCUGGAGUACGGCAGAGGGAGGUGGAAUUCCACGUGUAGCAGUGAAAUGCGUAGAGAUGUGGAGGAACACCGAUGGCGAAGGCAGCCUCCUGGGCUAGUACUGACGCUCAUGCACGAAAGCGUGGGGAGCAAACAGG